CCUACGGGGUGCAGCAGUGAGGAAUAUUGGUCAAUGGGCGAGAGCCUGAACCAGCCAAGUAGCGUGAAGGAUGACUUCCCUACGGGUUGUAAACUUCUUUUAUAAAGGAAUAAUGUGAUGCACGUGUGCCUUUUUGUAUGUACUUUAUGAAUAAGGAUCGGCUAACUCCGUGCCAGCCGCCGCGGUGAUACGGAGGAACCGAGCGUUAUCCGGCUUUAAUGGGUUUAAAGGGAGCGUAGAUGGGUUGUUAAGUCAGUUGGGAAAGUUUGGGGCUCAACCCGAACAUUGCAAUUGAUACUGGCAGACUUGAGUACAGGUGAGGUAAGCGGAAUUCGUGGUGUAGCAGUGAAAUGCUUAGAUAUCACGAAGAACUCCGAUUGCGAAGGCAGCUUACUA
rnacentral:rRNA from 1 species